rnacentral:rRNA from 1 species
GAUGAACGCUGGCGGCGUGCCUAAUACAUGCAAGUCGAGCGAACAGACGAGGAGCUUGCUCCUCUGACGUUAGCGGCGGACGGGUGAGUAACACGUGGAUAACCUACCUAUAAGACUGGGAUAACUUCGGGAAACCGUAGCUAAUACCGGAUAAUAUUUUGAACCGCAUGGUUCAAAAGUGAAAGACGGUUUUGCUGUCACUUAUAGAUGGAUCCGCGCUGCAUUAGCUAGUUGGUAAGGUAACGGCUUACCAAGGCAACGAUGCGUAGCCGACCUGAGAGGGUGAUCGGCCACACUGGAACUGAGACACGGUCCAGACUCCUACGGGAGGCAGCAGUAGGGAAUCUUCCGCAAUGGGCGAAAGCCUGACGGAGCAACGCCGCGUGAGUGAUGAAGGUCUUCGGAUCGUAAAACUCUGUUAUUAGGGAAGAACAAAUGUGUAAGUAACUAUGCACGUCUUGACGGUACCUAAUCAGAAAGCCACGGCUAACUACGUG